UGUUUGAAGCCUUUAGAAAACGUAAAAUCAGGUUCUGUGAUCCACACACCUCUGCUUAAAAGCAGCAUUUUACAUAAUUCAAUUGUCCCAAUUUGAUCCUCAAGUUUCAUUUAAGCUGUAAUGAUAACCUUCCAUCAAGUACCGAUAGGAAAAACAUACUAGUACUAGAAGGAAAUGGUCACGUGACAGAACACCAAGAAAGUAGGGUUGUUGCAUCAACUAGCUCAAAACUACUCCUAUUCAAAGGUUGUUAGGUCACGAUGAUUUUGCAAGGGCACGACGCAUGAGAGAGAAAGUCAUGCAUGAAAUAUAAAAGUGAAGGCAAGGAACUGCACAACUGCUAUUGUCUAGAGCUAUAUUCAUUAUACAAAGGUACUUGUCAUCUAUAUAUACAACCAAAUUAAAUGUGAACUCUUUUCUCUCAUUUCCAUCUACUUGUACAUAUUUACAACUUAUUCCAUCUCAUCAUAAAUAUCGAAACAAUACAGCAUCACCACAAUAAAAAAUAAAAUAAAAUAA